rnacentral:rRNA from 1 species
AGGACGAACGCUGGCGGCGUGCUUAACACAUGCAAGUCGAGGGCACUAUGCGGGCAACCGCGUGGUGACCGGCGAACGGGUGCGUAACACGUGAGCAACCUGCCCAAGUGUGGGGGAUAGCCGGCCCAACGGCCGGGUAAUACCGCAUACGCUUUUCCGGGGGGAGUCCCUGGGAAAGGAAACUUCAGGGGCACUUGGAGGGGCUCGCGGCCUAUCAGCUAGUUGGCGUGUAACGGCACACCAAGGCAUCGACGGGUA